CGGACACGGAUGCCCCGGUCCCGUCCCCAUCCAGCCCUGCCCGACACCGACCCAGGGCCCGGAGCCGCUCGGGAUGGGAGCCAAGGGGCGGCUGAGGUGGGAAGGGACGGUGGGAUGGAGGCGUUUUCCAAACAUCCUCAGAUCUCAUAGAUGGAUCCAACCCAGAGGUCUCUGAAGAACAGGGGACUCAGGUUCUCACCCAGCGCUGACGAUGGCGGGCUCAGAGCUCUGGGCAGGUUCUAUGUGACCUCAGGAGGGGCUGCACAGGCAGGAAUGAACCCCCGUUCCCUGUGAGGAAUCCCCAGGGUCCCAGCAGGAUGCAUUAACAGCACGUCUCUCCAGUGAGCCGUGAUGGGAACAGCACGGAGCAAAAAAAAAGCAGCAGUUUUCCUUUUUGUUAACACGAACAGAGGAGCGGAGAAGCGAUCUCUCGAAGGAUCCUGGCUGGCAGCAGCAUCACCAUCUGACUGAAGAGAGAACUCAGCCACACGCAUAAUCCUGGGGAAAAUUCAUCUCCACCCUCCCGCAGACCCCGGUGAGAGCCCUUGAAGUGGUAAUUAAAGUCUAUUGAGUGGCAACUGCACCUGUUUAGAGAGGAGAGUGCGGGUAAGAGGUGCACAAAGGGAGAUGAGCAGCGCGCAGAGAGGAGCUGCUGGAGGUGGGGAGGAGGAGAAGUGGAAAGAAGGGGGAAAAAGGUGUUUGUUGAAGUCGAUCCAAUCAGUUGUGCAUUUCCAUCCUGCCCUAGAUUUGCUCCUGGGGUGGAAAUCUGCAGUUCUGUAGGGUCUGUGAGGGCUCACAGCAGCCCCUGGUUCCUCGGGCUGGCCCUGGGAUGUGCCAGCUCUUGUCCCUCUGGGUGUAAGAGGGGGAUCUAGGUGCAGGCUCCAGGGAAAUUCUCAUUCUGAGACCCAUGGCUUGAUGACAGAACUGCUGGCUCCUUCUGUCACAAUCCCAGUGUGACCUCGGGUGGCAGCAAGCAGGGUCCCAGGCUAUCUGGGAUGAUGAGGCUCUAAAAUUUAAGUCAAAGAGCCCUGCAAAAGCUUUUUGUUGUAGGAGUAAAUAAUCACCCCUACACUCUACACAGAGUGUAGAGAUGAAGCUCUAAAACUUAAAUCAAAGACCUCUACAAAAGCUUUUUAUUGUAGGAGUAAAUAAUCACCCCUACACUCUACACAGGCCCUACUGAUACCCUUGGCUCCCCUUACCCAUUCCCAAAUCCAUUGUUUAGGUGGCACUAGAGCAGUAAUGUGGGCUUUGUCCCUUGUCACUGCAAUUCCCUGUGUGCCCAGAAUGAGCUGGGCUGAACCAGGACUCCAGGAGGGGCCCGAGGUUCAUCCUGAGAGCGCCCCGAGGCUGAGCUGAGCAAACGAGUCAGGCAGAAGGAUUCCACCGGUGUUGGCAAAUUCUUCUCCCUCACUGGGCUCGAUGGCAGCCAGUCCCCUGUGAAUCCCUGACCUUCACACUCCACAGGCUGCCUGGGAUGGCUCACAGAAACCACAGGAGGUUUUCUCCUGUUCCUCAUUGUCAGAGCACACAGCAGCUCUGGUGUGAAUGUUGUUGCAUCUGCUUUGGACAAGCCCUGUCAGCAGCACCUCUGCAGCUUCCCAAAGCUGUGCCAGGAUGUGCUUCGGGGUGAGAAUGAGGAUAGGGAAGAACUUGCACUUCACAGAAUCCCAAAUGGUUUGGGCUGGAAGGAGCACAAAGCCCACCCAGCUUCCACUAUCCCAGGUCACUCCAAGCCCCAUCCAGUCCCAUUGACUGUUCCAGGUGGGGUUUGACAUUAGCUGGCUGUCUGAUCCAACCAUUGUGCUGCAGUUUGUGGAGACAGACAGACAUCCCUGGACAGCAGGAAAACCUGCCAGUCAAGUUCUGUCCCAGGGGGAGAGGAAUUGUUGUGCCAGCUGGGCAGGGAGGCUGCAUGACAACACUGAAAGCCCAAGUGCUGUAGAAUCCUCCCUGAAAUGCCCUCUGUGCCUCCUUAACUCCAGUCCUGUGCAUGAACCAGCUCACUGGGUGGAAGGGCACCAUGUGAUAACUCGCCUUGUUUCUGCCUUUUGACUCCCAAACACUCCUCUCUCAUUUUUCCCUUUUAGCCCUUCUGUCCCUCAGCCCUUUUCUCUCUCCACCUUCCCUCUGAUUGCUGAGCAGCUUUUUGACUUUUCCAUCAAUAAGUCUAAAGAGCAUUUGAACCGGUCUGGUCCCCCUUCUCUCCUCCCUCCAGUUCCAAAUCAGGCGAGCUCAUCGAUCAGAGGAGCUCAGGAAAUAUCUGCUGUUUUGUUGUCAGGCUGAUAAUAACAUUGCAGUUGUGAAUGGGCUGCUGCAGGCCUGAUCAUGGACACCUGCAGGGUUUGUUUAAUUGCAUUUAAUGACAAAUCCUAUACAGAGGAGCAUUGCCAGAGAGAUUUAUUAUCCGCCAAAGAGGCAAAGCACAACAGCUCAAAAUAUAAUUUGCACUGAGCAUUUUU